UGCUCAGGAGCCCAGGUGUGCUGACCGUAGGCCGAAGGGUCUGCGAUGUGCUCCUCCAUGAAGCAGCCGAAGCCGGAGAGGUUGGUGGAGAUGCUGGGGAUCCCCAUCACGGUGCACUCCGCUGCGCACACAGCACAGGAAGGCACGACGGACUGCGACCACUGGUCUGGUCCUCAAUCAGGAGAAAACAGCGAACAGAGGACUGGGGGACUCAGAGAAGACCACUGUCCCUCCCGGAUGUGACCACACCCCCAGCUUGGCGCUCACCUGCACUGCUGUUGAAGAGGCCGAUGCGGCGGAUGGUCGUGAGAAUGGGGUCUGAGGAGUCGUCCAGCAUGUUCUCCCUGCUUGUGGCCUGGGAAAGC